GCAAAAACCGACCUGACCCGACAAAACCGACCAAACCGAAGAAUUUGGGUCGGUUUGGGUUGGUUUUUAUUGUUUAGUCGGUUUGGGUCGGGUUAUACAUAUUUAAAUGUUAGAUUUUCGGUUCGGGUUACGGGUUGGAAGGAAUUUUAACCCACCCAACCCGAACCGAACCGUUUCAUAACCAAAGAGCCAUUUUGCAAAAAUUAUUUUCAUUAAAUUAUUUCUAUGAAAUUUUGUAAGCCAUUGAUCUCUCACCAUCUAAUUACCACCGUUGGAUUUCAAGAUGAAAACACAAUACACAACAGUGACAGCACUCAACAGAACACAAUCUCAGAUUCUCACAAAACGAAAUUGAAGCCCUAGCAUUCGCGUCGCCAAUCGCCACUCGCAGGCAGCAUCCUCCGGCCAGCCACCACCCGAUUGAACUCCCAAGCAACGCCACCACUCGUCACCCUCCCAAGUCCCAAGCUCUGCAGAAUAUAUUGGAAGAAAGCUACUUCUUCAGUCACCUUCAAGGACCAAACAGCUUGCCUGAAUCACCUGUUGGACAGGCUUCUCAAACUCUCAGCAGUCAGCACUAAUUUGGGCAGUGAAUCUAAUUCCUCUCCAAAUGGUAGAACAGAUGUGGCAGAUAAAAUCAAACAGCCUAUCGUGACUUGCAUAAAUCGAAUAGCAUUCCUUUUCUUUGUUUAAUUCCAAGAUCACAAACAAUUGUGUGAUUGUCUAUUAUUUGGAGGUAAGUUACUUAGCCUUUUUCUCGUUAUUUUUGCAUGUGGGAAGGUCAAAAAUUGCUUUUGGAAAGUGUAGUGAAGCAUAGGCUGUGAAAUUGUUUGCUGUGAAGUUUGGAGAUUGUGAAGUGAUGUGUGACUUGAUUGCUGUGAAGUUGUUAAUAUAACCUGGCCUGCUGAUUUUGACAGCUAUAUGUAUAUAUAUUUGUAUAUAUAUAUAUAUAUACAUAUAUGUAUAUGUUUAUUUUGUUUUUAAUAGGUUCUAGAUGGAUGAAGGCCACAAUGAUUUGUAUGAUAUUAAUGAAUUGGAAGAGUAUUUAAAUGAAUCAGAUAAAGCUGAAUCUCAACCUUCACAGUUGGAUAAACCUUAUAAAACGCAAAAGAGAAAACCUUCUAGGGCUCCAUCUUGGGUUUGGGAACA